CAGCGCUGUCGCCGAGGCCGGCGGCCUGGUCGUCUUCAUCGGCCAGCAGAUCGUCCGAGGCGGUCAGCGUCGG
rnacentral:tRNA from 1 species